AAAUAUUCUAAUUUUUCAUAAAACAAUUUUUAUAGAACGCUAUGUAAAUAAUUUUUACAGCGUAAAAGCAAAAUAAAUUCCUACAUACAGUAGCACACGCAGCCAGGUAUUCAAAACAUUUAACAAUGACAUGUGGGCCCUCGAAUGACUAAAAGUAAUGAAAGCUGUGAACCUACAGUUUUUGAGGAUGCAAGUCCAACUAUAGCCCUCAACGAAAUGAGCUAUCUACCGACUAUCCUGAGCCUGAAAUAGGUGAAAAAGAGGGUGGUGAGAUUAUAUAAUCCCAGUGAGUAAACAAAUAUCAUCUAAAAUAUCUAAAGCUGAGUAAAUGGAGACAGAUAAAAUAGAUUAGCAUAAAAAUGAUUCACAACAUUUCGAACUCAUUUUAAUAAGAUAAAAUAAAUUCAUUUCACCCAAAUAAAUAACGAGGCUUACGAUUUCCUGAAAAGCUUGACUCGUGCCAAAAUCAUUCUCAUACUCGGUUGUCAGGGAUACCUUGGCCUGGGGCUAUCCCAACC
rnacentral:lncRNA from 1 species